rnacentral:rRNA from 1 species
UACGGAGGGAGCGAGCGUUGUUCGGAAUUACUGGGCGUAAAGCGUGCGCAGGCGGUUUCGCAAGUCAGAAGUGAAAGCCCAGGGCUCAACCCUGGAAUUGCUUUUGAAACUGCGAAGCUAGAGUAUCGGAGAGGUUGGCGGAAUUCCCAGUGUAGAGGUGAAAUUCGUAGAUAUUGGGAGGAACACCAGUGGCGUAAGCGGCCAACUAGACGAUUACUGACGCUCAGGCACGAAAGUAUGGGGAGCAAACAGG